GUUCAUUCCUUGAAUAUACUAGUAUUGGAACAAUACAGAGAAGAUUAGCAUGGUCUUUGCGCGAUAACUCACAAAUUAGUGAAACCCUUUUUU
rnacentral:snRNA from 1 species